GAUGAAAGCUGGCGGCGUGCCUAACACAUGCAAGUCGAGCGAUUCUCUUCGGAGAAGAGCGGCGGACGGGUGAGUAACGCGUGGGUAACCUGCCCUGUACACACGGAUAACAUACCGAAAGGUAUGCUAAUACGAGAUAAUAUACUUUUAUCGCAUGGUCGAAGUAUCAAAGCUUUUGCGGUACAGGAUGGACCCGCGUCUGAUUAGCUAGUUGGUAAGGUAACGGCUUACCAAGUCGACGAUCAGUAGCCGAACUGAGAGGGAGAGCGGCCACAUUGGAACUGGAACACGGUCCAAACAGCUACUGAAGGCAGCAGGGUGGAAUAUUGCACGAUGGGCGCAAGACUGAUGCAGGAGCGACGCGUGAGCGAUGAAGGCCUUCGGGUCGUAAAGCUCUGUCCUCAAGGAAGAUAAUGACGGUACUUGAGGAGGAAGCCCCGGCUAACUACGUGCCAGCCGCCGCGGUAA
rnacentral:rRNA from 1 species